UUAGAAGAGGUCGUCAUCAUCUUUAAGUCUCUCGCUCUCUGUCUAUCUCUUCUUUUCUUAAUUGGGUGGGGGAUUUAUUAAAUGAAACCAGAUAAUGAUGAUUAGAAUAAAACAUCCCUCCCUCUCUUGGUUCUUUCCUCUAAUUUUUUUUUUCUCUACAUUUCCUUAUGUGGCUAGGUCUCGUCUCAUCUACAACAAUGAUUUGAAGAUGACCCAAAAUUCGCUAUUAUUUAAUUAGGACAACGACAAUAUGUAUCUGAUUCCUCCGUCUUAGUAGAUUUGCAGACAACAACAACAGAUAUAAAAAAGAGCUAAAAGAUGGAAUCGGAUCUGGGGAAGCUCUUCGUUGGUGAAAUUUCUUGGGCUACAGAUGAAGAAAGGUUAAGCGACUAUUUUUCGCAACUACGGUGAUGUUGAGAAGCUGUGAUCAUAAGAGAUCGUGCCACUCGACGUGCUCGUGGUUUUGGUUUCAUUGUUUUCGCUGAUCCUUGUGUUGCUGAGAGAGUCAUCACGGUUAACAAAGACAUCAACAAUGGUAAAAAAUUUCGAUUUAUUUUCCUUCCCAUUACUGUAUCUGUGAUUUGUUGUUUGAUCACACAGUGCGAAUCAGGAAUUAACGAAGAUAGGUUGUUAUUUGUAGAUUUAUCGAAGACAGCGGGAGAUUGUACAAAUAGAUUUUAUACUAUGUCACGAAACUGAAGCUUUAAAUUGGAAAUCAAAUAGAUAUGUAAGAGAAUAGAAACUUGAUGUCAUAGCUUGUAGAUUAUCUUUAUGAUAGGGUCUACACCAUAGUACGCCUACAUAUAGGGCAAUUAUGUUUUUCAUACAACCAUGGAAUUAUACACUCAUGGUGAUAGAUGUGUUUGCAAUUGAGAUUGUUCAUAUCAUUGCGUCCUUUGAAUGUUUGUAGUUGCAACAAAACCUCCAACUAUGUCUUCCUUUAGGUCUGCAGUUGAACCUCCUCCUGACACAGUUUUGAUACGGUUUGAGACUUCAUUUUCUGUGUCUAUGAUAUACAUUUGCAAAUACUUGGGGUUCUCUCCGGGCAUGGGUAGAAGGGAUCCUAUGCGGUGAUAGACCUGGCCAUGUAUUCUGAAAACUGGUGGGCCAGUUGCAUAGGUUACACUGUGAUCUAUUUGUGCUCCCAUUGACGUGAAUGCAAGGAUGGCAUUGUAGAUUCGUAUAUUCAUACGGAACGUCAAGCUAUUGGCAUGUAGAUAUUCCAAAUACUUUGGAGUUUCUUUUAUUGGGGGGAGUUUGACACGGCCUUGUUGACAACAUAUUGUGAAGAUUGGCUCUCCAGUGGUUGGAUCGGUGCCUGUUUUUUCUGAAUACCAGACCAAAGCUUUACAAUGGAUGCACUCUAGGAUUGGGUUUUUCUCUGCUAAUGAAUCUGUAGUGGAGGUUUUUUGUAGUUGCUGCUUGAAGAACUUGAACCGACCAGUUGAGUAGAUGAUUGCCGUUGUUUUUGAUCCCAUCGUUUAGAAAGCAUGAUUGCUUUCCUCAUAGAGUGCGAGGUGUUGUAACUGGCUGUAUAUCAAAUCAAGGGUUACCAAUUUUGCAGCAGUUGAUGCAUCCACCUGUAUUUCAGAAUAUAUGCAUUUCAAUUAGUAUAGAGUAUUGGCAAGUGUUUGGACUGGCGUGGUCGUUUUGUUUGCCCUGUGAGAUAAAAAUUAGUAGGGUUUGGAAGGAUUACGGUGAAGUAUUUACUUGCAUAUUUGAAGUUCUAAGAUAUUUGGUGGAUUUAAGAUUACCAUGUAGCUGGUCGUUGGAGUCUGUUUCUUGAUGUUGUCUCUUUUUUUAACUUGCAUUACACAUUGGUCGAUCUAUUUGCAAAGUUGGCCAAAACCUGGAAACAUACAAUAAAGUUCAGAGUUUGUAAAACUAUCUUCUUAAUGCUUUGCAGUGAAUAACUUUUGAGAAGGAAAA